CAUUGAUUUCGCCGUCGAACCCAUCCCAACGCAACGUUGAUGCGGGCGCGAGGUACGUCUCCGAUUCGGUCAAACGAAUCCGAAGAUGUUGAUCAAACAUCAAGAACAAAGUUGGUUGUCGUUGUCGUCAGAAAGUCUGGCGACUGUAAUUGUUGUCAUCGCAGGAGUGGGAGAAAAUCGAUGACUACUGUCACCAUCGGAACCCGACGAUAGUCAUCAACGAAAUCG
rnacentral:lncRNA from 1 species